rfam:Ardenticatena maritima DNA, contig: NODE_158, strain: 110S.
AUAAACCGGAGGAAGGUGGGGACGACGUCAAGUCAGCAUGGCCUUUAUGUCCGGGGCGACACACACGCUACAAUGGCCGGUACAGAGGGUAGCCACGCCGCGAGGCGGAGCGAAUCCCAAAAGCCGGUCUCAGUUCGGAUCGCAGUCUGCAACUCGACUGCGUGAAGGCGGAGUUGCUAGU